AUUGAACGCUGGCGGCAGGCCUAACACAUGCAAGUCGAACGAGUGGCGGACGGGUGAGUAAUGUCUGGGAAACUGCCCGAUGGCGGGGGAUAACUACUGGCAACGGUAGCUAAUACCGCAUACCUUCGGAUGUUCCCAGAUGGGAUUAGCUAGUAGGUGGGGUAACGGCUCACCUAGGCGACGCUCCCUAGCUGUUCUGCGAGGAUGACCAGCCACACUGGAACUGAGACACGGUCCAGAUUCCUACGGGAGGCAGCAGUGGGGAAUAUUGCACAAUGGGCGCAAGCCUGAUGCAGCCAUGCCGCGUGUAUGAAGAAGGCCUUCGGGUUGUAAAGUACGUUCAGCGAGGAGGCGUGACUCGCAGAAGAAGCACCGGCUAACUCCGUGCCAGCAGCCGCGGUAAUAC
rnacentral:rRNA from 1 species